AAGUCGUAACAAGGUUUCCGUAGGUGAACCUGCGGAAGGAUCAUUAACACUUUUAUUAUUUUGUUUUUUCUAAACAAAAUUUAAAACCCCACAAUUUUGGAUGAAUUUAAUUUAUUUAUUUUUUAUUUUAUUUUUUUAUUAUAACCCUAUUAUUUGACUAACAUUUUUAUUUAAUUAUUAAAAAAUUAAAAAAACAACUCUUAACAACGGAUAUCUUGGCUCUC
rnacentral:misc_RNA from 1 species